rnacentral:rRNA from 1 species
AUGGAGCCGACCUUGAAAUACCACCCUUUAAUGUUUGAUGUUCUAACGUUGACCCGUAAUCCGGGUUGCGGACAGUGUCUGGUGGGUAGUUUGACUGGGGCGGUCUCCUCCUAAAGAGUAACGGAGGAGCACGAAGGUUGGCUAAUCCUGGUCGGACAUCAGGAGGUUAGUGCAAUGGCAUAAGCCAGCUUGACUGCGAGCGUGACGGCGCGAGCAGGUGCGAAAGCAGGUCAUAGUGAUCCGGUGGUUCUGAAUGGAAGGGCCAUCGCUCAACGGAUAAAAGGUACUCCGGGGAUAACAGGCUGAUACCGCCCAAGAGUUCAUAUCGACGGCGGUGUUUGGCACCUCGAUGUCGGCUCAUCACAUCCUGGGGCUGAAGUAGGUCCCAAGGGUAUGGCUGUUCGCCAUUUAAAGUGGUACGCGAGCUGGGUUUAGAACGUCGUGAGACAGUUCGGUCCCUAUCUGCCGUGGGCGCUGGAGAACUGAGGGGGGCUGCUCCUAGUACGAGAGGAC